rnacentral:rRNA from 1 species
AAGACCUUACCCGACUUUAGCUGAGAGGUGGUGCAUGGCCGUCGUCAGUUCGUACUGUGAAGCAUCCUCGUUUAAGUCAGGCAACGAGCGAGACCCACGUCCACAGUUGCCAGCAUACCCUCCGGGGUGGAUGGGUACACUGUGGAGACCGCCGCUGCUAAAGCGGAGGAAGGAGUGGGCAACGGUAGGUCAGUAUGCCCCGAAUCUCCCGGGCUACACGCGGGCUACAAUGGUUGGUACAAUGGGCAUCUACCCCGAAAGGGGAAGGAAAUCUCUUAAAGCCAAUCGUAGUUCGGAUUGAGGGCUGCAACUCGCCCUCAUGAAGCUGGAAUCCGUAGUAAUCGCGUUUCAACAGAACGCGGUGAAUACGUCCCUGCUCCUU